rnacentral:rRNA from 1 species
UACGAAGGGAGCUAGCGUUGUUCGGAAUCACUGGGCGUAAAGCGCACGUAGGCGGCUUGUUAAGUCAGGGGUGAAAUCCUGGAGCUCAACUCCAGAACUGCCUUUGAUACUGGCGAGCUUGAGUUCGGGAGAGGUGAGUGGAACUGCGAGUGUAGAGGUGAAAUUCGUAGAUAUUCGCAAGAACACCAGUGGCGAAGGCGGCUCACUGGCCCGAUACUGACGCUGAGGUGCGAAAGCGUGGGGAGCAAACAGG